rnacentral:lncRNA from 1 species
GCUUGUGCUCAUGGCUUUUUUUUUUUUUUACUGGAAGGCAGGGCCUAUGAAAGGAGACCACUGCUUGCUUCAGAGCUUCAGCAGAGACAGGAAGUUUGUGCAAGACAAAACUCUUACUAUGAUUGGUUUUGGCCCUUCUGUUACCAAAAUAAAGUUGCCCCUGAGGGCUAGAGAUGCUGUCAUCAGGAUUCUGUUGCAUAAAGGGCAAGAUAUAAAAAAUCUCUCUGAUGUGAAUUUCCUAUUAGGAGCAGCAGGAAAGGAUGUGAAGCUGAUUGGAGCUAAUAGGCUGGCUCUCCUUUGAAUACUAGUGGUUGAGGAAAAAACGUGAUAAUAACCAACUAAUGGUGGAGAGAAAAGGAGCUCAAACAGCUACGGAACUUUCAGCAAGCCCGAUUUGUUUGGAAAGCCUCAGAGCUUUCCGGUAGCUGCAGGAUCCAUCUUGGGGCCACCACGUGUCCUGAGUGAUUCUCCUGCCCUCUGAACCGGCAGGAAGGGAAGCUACAUUGUUUUGUGUGGUAGGCCUGGAUUCUAGUUAGUUGAUUUUAGAAAACCUCCAAGAGUAGAAAUCUGGAUAUUGUCACUGCCUUUGUACUGAGGUCUGGGCUGCUUUGCUUCCAACAUCACACAUCAUAAUUGAGGUCCUAAAAUUACAGAAGUAGUCUGGGAGCUCCUGCGUGGGAUGGAAAAUGAUGGCUUCUUAACCCUGACCCAGAUUGUGGGUGCUAAUUUCGAGGCGCCAGUCCCUGGACAGCAGGGUCACCCUGCGGAGUCUUCUCAGCCCCAGACCGCCAUGAGGAGGAGACCCCUGGAACCUUCUGCCCCAAGCUUCCAUUCAGCCCCCAGCCCUUCCCUUUCGGUUCAGACCGUAUUAGCCCUGGGGCCAAACCGCCUCAUUUCUUCGCUUCUUCCUUCACCCCAAGCAGGGCCUCUGGGGGGAGACCUGGGAACCGGCGGCAGAGGCGCUCCGAGGUCCCAGUCAGCAUGGCCUUCCUGGGACCCCGGCGUUAAUUGCUGCAGCCCCGGGUGGGAAACGCCUGGGCCUCUCGGCGACGCCCCGCCCCGGCGCUUAUCUCAGCGCGGCAGGCAGCGCCACGAUUUCCGCCCUGCCCGGUCAUCCCGGGACCAGGCCACCA